rnacentral:rRNA from 1 species
GACGAACGCUGGCGGCGUGCCUAAUACAUGCAAGUAGAACGCUGAAGAGAGGAGCUUGCUCUUCUUGGAAGAGUUGCGAACGGGUGAGUAACGCGUAGGUAACCUGCCUUGUAGCGGGGGAUAACUAUUGGAAACGAUAGCUAAUACCGCAUAACAAUGGGUGACCCAUGUCAUUCAUUUGAAAGGGGCAACUGCUCCACUACAAGAUGGACCUGCGUUGUAUUAGCUAGUAGGUGAGGUAACGGCUCACCUAGGCGACGAUACAUAGCCGACCUGAGAGGGUGAUCGGCCACACUGGGACUGAGACACGGCCCAGACUCCUACGGGAGGCAGCAGUAGGGAAUCUUCGGCAAUGGGGGCAACCCUGACCGAGCAACGCCGCGUGAGUGAAGAAGGUUUUCGGAUCGUAAAGCUCUGUUGUAAGUCAAGAACGAGUGUGAGAGUGGAAAGUUCACACUGUGACGGUAGCUUACCAGAAAGGGACGGCUAACUACGUGCCAGCAGCCGCGGUAAUACGUAGGUCCCGAGCGUUGUCCGGAUUUAUUGGGCGUAAAGCGAGCGCAGGCGGUUAGAUAAGUCUGAAGUUAAAGGCUGUGGCUUAACCAUAGUACGCUUUGGAAACUGUUUAACUUGAGUGCAAGAGGGGAGAGUGGAAUUCCAUGUGUAGCGGUGAAAUGCGUAGAUAUAUGGAGGAACACCGGUGGCGAAAGCGGCUCUCUGGCUUGUAACUGACGCUGAGGCUCGAAAGCGUGGGGAGCAAACAGG